rnacentral:lncRNA from 1 species
UGGGCCUUUCUUCCUUAUUUCCUGAUAACCCCCUGCAGAAACAGAUAAACAACAAAACUCGUGGAAUUCUGUCAGAUCAAACCCUAAUUCUAGGUGUUGGUUGCAUAUUAGUCCUUUCUCUUGUUUAUUUGAUAAUUAAAAUUGAUACUUAAGAACCGUCAACAAAUACCCCCAUACUUAGGCUUUUACUCGUCCUCGAGAAAAGGAUGGUUAAGAACAAUAUUUGGGGUAAAACAUUUUUUAAAAUAUUCUUUUCAUAACUGUAGGGUGUUAAAAUUCCACUGUGUACUAUAGUCAGGGAAGUAUAUGGUUAAGAGUAAAGAUCCUUUCUUCUCAAUCCUGUCACUU